rnacentral:lncRNA from 1 species
GAGGCAGGAGAAUGGCGUGAACCUAGGAGGCGGAGCUUACAGUGAGCCAAGAUUGUGCCACUGCACUCAGCCUGGGCGACAGAGCAAGACUCCGUCUCAAAAAAAAAAAAAAAUUCCCUAGUGUGACUGUUCUGCAAUGUAUUUAUCCACUCACCUGUUGAUAGACAUUUGGAGCAUCUCCAGUGUUGGGCUAUUAAGAUCAGUGCUGCCAUGAAUAGUCUUGUGUUUUGGUGCACAUAUGCGCACAUUACUGGGUUCUAAGGUGAGGGAUGCUCAAUGCUAGUAGACACUGCCAAAUACUUUUCCAAAGUGAUUUUGUCUCCACUGGCAGGAGCAGUACAUGAGUGUCUGCUCGUACCACAUCCUCCUGCACUAUGGCCAACCCUUUGAGUUUGAGAACAUAGGUACUUGUGGAACAGGCUGGCAUUCAAUUGCCUGCGUUUGAAUCCCAGGUCUCUUCUUUUUAUGUGACCUUCAACAAAGUCUGUUUUCUUGUCUGAAAAAUGGGUUGAAAAUCAAAGGGUAGGCCAGGCAGUGGCUCACGCCUGUAAUCCCAGCACUUUAGGAGACCAAGGCGGGAGGAUUGCUUGAGCUCACGAGUUCAAGACCAGCCUGGGCAAUAUGGCAAAAUCCCAUCUCUACAAAAAAAUACAAAAAAUAACUGGAUAUAGUGGCACGCGCCUGUAGUCCCAAGUACUUGGGAGGUUGAGGUGGGAGGAUCACUUGAGCCCAGGAAGCAGAAGUUGCAGUGACCUGAGAUCGCACCACUGCAUUCCAGCCUAGGUGACAGAGUGAGUGAGAUGACUUCUCAAAAAAAAAAAAAAAAAAGGAUAAACCAAGGGGCUGUUGUGAAGAUCCUGCGGACCCGCUAGGUGCUAAGUGCUCCAUAAACGUUAGCUUUUUAUAGCUAAUUCUCACCACAACCCGCCAGAUCACUUCGCCUCUCAGAGCCUCAGUCUCCCCAUCUGUAAAAUGUCAAUGAAAAUUCUAACACACCCACAUAUACACACAGUUGAGAGGCUCACUAGUAAAUGGAAUAAUUUAUAAAAGUGCCUUUUAAUUUUCUUAAGAGACAGGUUCUCACUCUGUCACCCAGACUGGAGUUCAGUGGCAUGUUUAUAACUCACUGCAGCCUCCAACUCUUGGGCUCAAGUGAUCCUCUCACCUCAGCCUCCCAAGUAGCUGAAACUACAGGCCCACAAACAGCUAAUUUUUUAGUUUUUGUGGAGACAGAGUCUUGCUAUGCUGCCCAGGCUGGUCUCGAACCCCUGGGCUCAAGUUAUCCUCCCCUUGGUGUCCCAAAGUGCUGGGAUUACUGGCAUGAGCCAACACGCCCAGCAGUGAUUCUUGCUCUCAAGGAAUUUGCCAUCUAGUGGGGAGGAAAACCAUGUACAUCACUCACUGUGAACGCAAAGCCGAAUGAAAUUAGACUUGUAUUAGAACAACGGUGGUAGGGCUGGGCACGGUGCCUCACUCCUGUAAUCCCAGCACUUUGGGAGGCCGAGGCGGGUGGAUCAUGAAGUUAGACGUUCGAGAUCAGCCUGACCAACAUGGUGAAACCCCAUCUCUACCAAAAAAUAAAAAUUAGCCAGGCGUGGUGGCGCAUGCCUGUAAUCCCAGCUACUCAGGAGGCUGAGGCCGAGAAUCACUUGAAUCUGGGAGGCGGAGGUUGCAGUGAGCCGAGAUGGCGCCACUGCACUCCAGCCUGGAUGACAGAGCGAGACUUGGUCUCAAAAAAAAAAAAAAAAAAAAAAAA